UUGCAAACGCGUCUGUGUGUCAGUCAUUGUAGCGAAUAUAUUUUAGCAGUGAGGACGUGUCGUCCAUUGUAUAUUUUUGUCGCUUCUACAUUCUGUAAAUAAAAGUGACAAAGAAGUCGAUUUCCUGACAACCAAAGUGUUAAUCAUAUUUGCAUAAUCUCAAACCAUCAACAUGUCGUCCCGCUACCGUGAAUGGGACCUACAAUGCAAAGUCUACGUCGGAAAUCUGGGCUCGUCAGCAUCAAAACACGAAAUCGAAAAUGCAUUCGGCAAAUACGGACAAUUGCGAAAUGUUUGGGUCGCUCGCAAUCCACCGGGUUUCGCAUUCGUUGAAUUCGAGGAUCGACGGGAUGCCGAAGAUGCGGUUCGUGCAUUGGACGGAUCUCGAUGCUGUGGCACUCGUAUUCGGGUGGAAAUGUCAUCGGGUCGAUCACGACGUGAUGACCGUAAAGGACGCGGUGGUGGUGGCGGCGGCGGACGUAAUCGAUACAGGGCAUUUUCCAUCUUCAAACAUCUUUACCUCAACAUCCACAAGUUUACAUCUACCGCCACAACUUCAACUACGCCUUCUAGUCCAUCGAUAGCGAUGCUUCUUCAUUUUCCACAUUUUAUUCUCAAUUUUCUGUCGCCUACUUGAACGUAGCGCACCAUCAGCUCAAAAUGUAUAAAAUCAAAAGCUCCAACAAUUGAAAACAUUGUGCUUGCGAAGCACACACAACAGACACACACAUGCAACGCGCGCAUUACAUGACACAUACGCAUUCAUAGCGAUGUUUGCAACGGGACCGAAAAAAUUUAAGUCAAACGAAAACGAAAUGCGAAAAUUGUGUGUUCGUCUCAACCUCAGACCGAAUGUUUAACAAACAAAGAGCAAAAUGUAGCUGGAACGCUUUGCGAAACUAUCAUUCCCUUUAUAGCGAUAAAUCACACAUCACCUACCAACCACCACCACCACUACCACAACCACAACCAACCACCACCCAUCCUGCGUUCUAGAAAUUAAGUUUUUUUAUCUUCAAAAAAACAAACAAACCGAAACGUAAAUAGGCGCUUAAUAUUAACCAACGAUAUCCAUCAACGAUCCAUCGCCAAGUAUAACCUCUUUACCACCACACAAGCCGCGUGUAUGCGUCCGUCAUCCGAAUGUAUCGUCGACGUAAUAGAAAGUUAAUAAACCGUCGAUUCAUUCGAUUGGGAAUAGGAAGCGAUCCGAAAGUCACAAAAUUUAAUCAGCGUCACGUACAGUGUCCCCACAGUCACCGCUACAAUAAACAACCGUGUCCACACCGAUCAAGUUUUCAAAUUUUGCGGGCAUCAAUCAAAUUCUCCUCUUCUUUUUGCUACUACCAAAUAAUCAGCCACAAAACAUCAAUAUAUCGUCACAACCACUACAAAAUCAAAAAAAAAAAUUGUAAUUACCUACUACUACUACAACUACUACUACUACCAACCACCUCAACAACAAUUUUACAAACAACAUGAAAAAAAGAAAAAAAAAUCGCAAAAAAAUGAGAAAGCAAAAAAUUUGUAAAUAAUUCACAUUCCCCGAUGUUCUACUUAAAAAUUGACUGCAUCCUACUACUAUACUACUACUAUAUUAUACUACUACUACCAAAAGUACCAAAAAUCAACACCAUCGAAAUCAACCACUCUUCCACGGCAUCAUUUUAGUGGUCUCGUUCGCCACGUCGAUCCCGCUCUCGUUCCCGCAGCUUGUCGCGUGAGCGUCGAAGUCGAUCCGAUUCAAGGGAUCGCUACUGAUGGAUGCAAAGCAGGAGAAAAAUUUGAGGACAAAGAGAAAGAAUUUUUUUUUCAUUUGAAUACAGCUCACAGGACGUCUUUUUUUAACUAUUUUUUUUCUGGCUAAAUUCAACGUAAUUUUAAACUAUUAUAAUAGCGCGAACACUCUCUUGGAAUGGGGAAAGUGUUUUUCUCUAAUUUUUUUUUUCUUCUUAGUUUAAGAAUCAAAUAAGUUCAUUAAGUUAAUCAGAAAAUACUUCGUUAGGUAAAAAAAAGUAUUAAAAAAAAGCAAAGAAAAAAUAUCCAACAAAAAUCAGUUCAAUGAUCGGAUAACACGGACACUUUCAUUGGAUUGACAGACAAAAUGAAUUUAUUUUCAAACCAUUUGACUCGCUGAUCUUAUAUUUUUCAUGAGAGUAUUUUUGUUCAUCAAUUAUUUUAUAAAUAAAAGUGAUGUAAUUAAUGAAAAA